AAAAGCAGACUUAAAAAGAGAAAACCUGCUUAGGGCUUGAUCUGCUGUAAUCAGCAGAAAGAAUCCCAAGGACUUUGAUGUGGACCAAAUCAAGCCCCUGGAGGACAUUCAUGCCAUGCUCAGAGACCUUUUCCUCCUCCAGGCACCCAGAGAGGCAGAAGGAGACUGAGAGACUGUUUAAGGGCAGAAGAGACCAUACCAAGGUAACUGGAAGAACUCAGCCAUCAGACCAAAGAGAGGACGUCACUGCUCCCAUGGGGAGCCCUGGGCCCAUGGCAGGUGCAGCAGAUGCAUUUUUAAUGCAGGACAACUGGGCCAGGAGAAGCCUUGAUGGCUGGUCUGGAAGACACGUGGCCCAAAACAGCAUUUCUGGCAGAAAUGUGAAUCUGAAAGGGCAGGCUUGCCACAAUUUUUAGAU